rnacentral:rRNA from 1 species
UACGUAGGGCGCAAGCGUUGUCCGGAAUUAUUGGGCGUAAAGGGCUCGUAGGCGGCCAACUAAGUCAGACGUGAAAUCCCUCAGCUUAACUGGGGAACUGCGUCUGAUACUGGAUGGCUUGGAUCCGGGAGAGGGAUGCGGAAUUCCAGGUGUAGCGGUGAAAUGCGUAGAUAUCUGGAGGAACACCGGUGGCGAAGGCGGCAUCCUGGACCGGUAUUGACGCUGAGGAGCGAAAGCCAGGGGAGCAAACGGG